rnacentral:rRNA from 1 species
UACAGAGGGGGCGAGCGUUGUUCGGAAUUACUGGGCGUAAAGGGCGCGUAGGCGGCCUUCUAAGUCGAACGUGAAAUCCCCGGGCUCAACCCGGGAACUGCGUCCGAUACUGGGAGGCUUGAAUCCGGGAGAGGGAUGUGGAAUUCCAGGUGUAGCGGUGAAAUGCGUAGAUAUCUGGAGGAACACCGGUGGCGAAGGCGGCAUCCUGGACCGGCAUUGACGCUGAGGCGCGAAAGCCAGGGGAGCAAACGGG